UUGUAGGUGCACAUCUGGCUGACUUUUCCUUGCAGUCUGGGAAAGGAGAAUUACCAUUUAAUGAGAUUUCAGCCGUGCAGUUUGAUGGAAGGAAGAAGUCUGUGUCCUUCACUAAGUGAAACAUCUUUCAAAUAAAGAAAAGAACCAAGGCUUCUGAAUACUCAUGUGAACACUUUGUCUUCAAUAAAAGCAGAGCUUGUUCAGUGGCCAAAUUCUCACCACUGUGCAAGCAGUACUAGGAUUUACUUCACAAGUUUUGUAUUAUGGGCCAAAUAAUGCAGAGCACUGUGUUUUGGGCCAAUGUCUUCAGCAGGAAAUGCUAGGUAGCCCUGUGAACUACUCCUAUGUUUUCUUUAGGAAUGUACAGAAUAGAACCAGUUGAGGACUUCGUGACAUGAAGAUAACAGCUGUCUGAAUCAUCUGACUUCCAGCAGCAGCUGAGCUGUCCCAUUUCCCUCUGGGCAGCUGAGUGAUGUCCUGUGAGAUGCCAAACACUCCAGAGCCUCCCAAGGCAGCCUCACAGCUCUACUCAGAGCUGUUUACAGUGGAGCAGGGUUUCUCAGUCAAUGUGAAAACCACCAAGAUUUUUGGAUUAUUACAACAGUCAAAAGGCCUCAAAUAGCAAGAACAAUUUGUGAUUAUGACCCACAGUAAUUCUAAGUAAUGCAUCACCUAUUAAAUUUUUGAUGUGGAAAAUUAGUGCUUCAGGUCUUAAGAAAGUGACAACCACAGUGUUGAGAGAGUGACAAAAAUAAUGUUUGAGCUACAAUUUUAGGAUUAAUAAUGCAGAUUCACCUUUUCUAGUGGAACAGAAAUGUGAGCACCUCAUGAAAACUCCAUGCUCCUUUUCUCUGGGAACAGAAAGGACAGAAGAGAAUGAUUACCUUCUGCUCACUUUCAAGAUUCAGAGCAUUGUAGAAGACUUUAUGGCAAUCUGUUCUCCAGCUGAAAACAGCUGGUAUAAACUCACUCUAGAAGUGGUGGUAGUUUAAAGAUUGCUCAUACUUCGUGCUGAAGAUUUUAAAAUGCACUAGUAUUGUGGAGGAAAUUUUUAUUGAACAAAAUAAAAUGAACAAAACUUUAAUAUUGUUCAAUAAUGUUUAUCUAGAAAGACUGAAUGUCAUUCCCAAGAUGGUGCAACUGUAAGAUUGUAAAAGAAAAGAAGUUUUCUCACUGUUGUAGCAAAAACUUAUUCUGAAUUCAUGCGGGGCCUUGCAACUUAAAUCCUACUUUUUAAUGUCAAAACCAGUUAUCUUAAUCUCCCCUGACAAAGCUUUUCCAUGAAAUGUGUUUUCUAUUUGUAUGCUUUCCAUCUUAGUAUGCCACACACUUCUCACACCCACAGCUUCAUGACGACAGUACAUAGUGCUGCAAUCCCUUGAAACAGAUUUUGAUUUGGCUGCAAUAUUUCUGGUCAUGUUGGAUCCUUGGCUGCAAUAAAAUCAGGUCUGGACCAUUCUGUGAUUUUGCUUUGCUGUAAAUUUGCACAAGAACUUUUAUUCUUCCUUUCCUGUGUUAAAAGCUAUAAAUACCAUGUCUCUAAAGGGAAUUGCAAAGAAUAAUAUUAAGAAGUUAGCAGGGUGAUAGUUAGCCUGCUUGUCAUUGGCUGUGACCAUCUAUGUUUUUAUAUGUCGUGGAAGGGCAAUUCUCCUGUUCUACUUGCUCUCAUAUCUGAUGAAAGCAAAUUGCCAGCUCCAGAAACUUUGUGGGAAGGCAGAUUGGGCCUUUUAGCCUUUGUUUAUGUGGCUGUAGGUACAACAGGGACAGGAUGAAUUCAGUCAUAAUUAAUGUGUAAAUUAGUGGGUUUUCUGUGGAUUUUAGCUACCUAAUCUUAAUAUUGU